rnacentral:rRNA from 1 species
AUAUCACUAAGCGGAGGAAAGGAAACUAACGAGGAUUCCUCUAGUAACGGCGAGUGAAUGGGGAAAAGCCCAGCGCUGAAUCCGUCGGCCUCUGGCCGUUCGGACCUGUAGCGUAUAGUCGCAGCCGUCCGUCGCUAGCGAUCACCCUAAGUUCUCUUGACUGAGACUAUUGUCCAAAGAAGGUGCCAGGCCUGUGAGUGGA